CGAAAUCUACCACCAGGACAGUAAAAAAGAAAGCGGCCUUGGGUCUCUGCUCUCGGCCACUGGCCAGGGUGCCAAUCUGUAGAAGCAGCACCUGUGUGGAGAUUUUUCGGCAGCAGCGGGAGCAGUACGACGCAUUACUGGGGAGGAUUGGGAGGCUAGAGACACUCCUGAAAAUGCAGAGGAAGGAGACAGUAUGUUCCAGCA